GUUCUCCUUCAGCAGCACAUAUGCUAAAAUGGGAAUGAUACAGAGAUUAGCAUGGUUCCUGCGCAAGGAUAACAUGCAAAUUCAUGAAGUGUUCCAUAUUUUU